AUAUGAUCCCAGUUUAUACCUCAAUAUAUUUCUCUACUCGUACGCUUCAAUGUUGUUGUUGAAUUGCUGACCUUUGGUGCAUUUAUUGUGCUGUAGGUAGUGUUGUAGUAAUAUUUAUGGCUAGGAUGAAAUAUUGGUUAGCCAUAGAAUGCUUUGAUAUUUUGGGUUCCUUGGUGUCAAUGCUGAGAGUAAUUAAGAGCAAGCAUCUGUUAUGAUGCCCAAGUUGGUAGAAGGGGAGCCACAAGGUGGAAGAAGUAUCAAUUAGAGGCAGGGAAGCAGCUAUUAACUCCUGCUGGCAAUUUGCAUAAAUCCAUUCUUCACCUUCCUUGAGUUGCCACUUGCCGGGAUAUUACAAUUUUGUGAAGAAUAAAUCUGUAUUAACAUAGCUAUUAGUUAGCAAGCUGCAGCCGUUAAGUUGAGCACUGUGAUGGAUGCCUCGAGAAGAAAAUAUAAAAAAGACCCAACAGCUUUAGAGUGCAUGGUGCAAUCAAUGGAAACUGUGUUUUGGAGCUGAAAUCUCUAGUUCCCUAUCCCUAGGAUUUGAGAUGGUGUUGUAUUUAAGUAUGUAUUUUUGUAGAGAAAAGAAGAAAAAAAAAAGAAAAAAGAAUGCUUGUGUAAUAACCUUAUCUGUUUUGGAAAAUUAUAUCAAAGUGUCCAUCUAUUUACAUUUA